CUAAAAUUGCCCAUAUCCCUAAAAUUGUGGUGCCUCUACACGCAUUGUUUCUACUACCUCCAGAAGUUCGACUCCAAUAAACCUAUCAGAUCGAAAACUUCUCGCCUUCUCUUCCAUCGCCCAUCACUCUCUCUCUCGCGUGUGCCUCCAUUCCAGAGCUGCUCGGAAACAAAAAUUGAAAGAAGUUUGGCAGUUGGGCAAUAGUACAAGAGGCUUGUUUCGAUUGUAUGAUUGGUCUUGUUUAGGAUUUGAGCUUCAGUUCAGUUGGUUCACUAGAAGAGUUGGUUGGUAAUAGAAACUUUGUUUCUGGGUAAUGCCCUGUGUUUUGGUGAAUUAGGUAUAGAAUAAUUGGAUAUACUUUUAUUAUUUCGUGGGAAAAAAGUCUAAUAUGAUACAUAAGCUACCAAAGAAGUCUUUUUUUUCUUCUUCUGAU